rnacentral:lncRNA from 1 species
CUAGGUGCUAUUAUACACAUGUAAUUUUAUUUAUUUAUUUAUUUUUGGUGAGGAAAAUUGUCCCUGAGCUAACGUGUGUGCCAGUCUCCCUCUAUUUCACAUGUGGGAAGCCACCAUGGCAUGGCUUGAUGAGUGGUGUGUAGGUCCAUGCCUGGGAUCCAAACCCAUGAACCCCUGGCCACCAAAGCUGAGCACACGAACUUAACCACAAUGCCUCUGGGCUGGCCCCUAUACACAUUUUAUAAUUUAAUAAAGUCAAACCAUUCAUCUAGCAUUCAAAGCUCAUCCAAGUCUGCCUCUCCUCUUCCUAUCUGUGAUGAUCAACUUUAUGUGUCAACUUGGCUAGCACAGUACCCAGAUAUUCGGUAAGCAUCAGUCUUGAUGUCACUGUGAAGGUAUUUUUCAGAUGAGAUUAACAUUUGAAUCAGUAGACUUUGAGUAAAGCAGAUUACUCUACAUAAUGUGGGUGGGCCUCAUCUAAUCAGUUGAAGAUCUUAAGAGAAAAGGACUGAGGUCCCUCACUGAAGAAGGAAUUCUGCCUUCAGACUGCCUUCAAACUUGAGCCACAACAUCAACUCUUCCCUGAUUCUCAAGCCUGCCAGCCUGUCCUGCAGAAUUCAGACUUGCCAGCCUCCAUAAUCAUGUGUGUCAAUUUCUUAAAACAAUCUGUCUGUCUCUCUCUCUCUCCACACAAAUCCUAUUGGUUAAGUUCUCUGGAAUAUCUUAAUACACCAGCCAUAUCAAAACCUAUCAGAAUCUUACCUGUCCCACAUGGUCCAUCCCCUCCCUAAUCUGUGACCACUCCAGCCAGAAGUAGUUUAUUUUUUUUACUAUGGAUUCCUUGAACUCUUCAAACACCCUUCUUUACAUUGCAGUGAUUUGUAGUUACAAUAAUUUUCCUACAAGGAAUUAUGCUAUCCCACUUCCACCUCUGAGUUACCUAGAGAAAGCUACUUCACAUCUCUGAGCCUCUAUUACCUCACGGUUAAAUGAGGAUAAUAAUUUUCUUAUUGAAUUAAUGUCCCGGGAAUAUACAUGCUCAUUGUGAAAUACAUAGCAUAGUGUGAAAAUUGAACUUAAUUCCACUAAUCUCCAGGGAAGCUUGUGUGGCAAUGAAAUGAGCCAUUUUAUGUCCUGUCAGGCUCAGGAAUGAAGACAGAUCUACAGGCUUAGGUGGUAACAGAAUUGUAGAGCAUAACCAAUCUGUGAUUCUAACAAUGAGCACAUGAGGAUAUAAGUGUGGAAGGCAGACCUACACACACAAGAUCAGUCCAAGACAGAGCAAGCUGACUGCACUCAAUACUCAAGAUGCAGGGCAUCCACCCACUUUGAGAGGGUGGAGGCCAGCACCAAUAUUCCGAGUAGACGGAGUGCUCGGGUCAGGGAGGGCCAGGCUUCUUCCUUCGGUAAGUGAAGCCCAGAAUUUUAACUGGACACUCAGAAUUGCUUCUGUCACCCAAUCUCCCUUGCCUCUGAGAGCUCUGUGGUCUUGGGAUGGGAACAGAGUGAUGUUUGCAGCUUUGGGGUUAUAACUUGAAAGGAAAAGAACAUGUCUUCCACCCUCUUUUCUCCAUUUUGCUGCUGCAUAUAAUUAGACAUCUUGGAUCAUGAUGACAAGGACCACACCCAGAAGAGGAGAGCAAUAAGAUAGCAAAAGCCUCGGUCCUUGCCAUUUGUAGAGCUGCCAUAUUGGCCUUGAACUGCCUAAACUUACACUUUAGUAUUGUUUUGUGUUAGGACAGCCAAACUCAUAUAUAGCAGAUCAUAGAAAAGUCUGUUAAUUAUCUAACAGUAAGUUUUUUCAGAAAUAGCUUAGGUAUAAAGGACAGGCUAAACCUAUGGACCCAAUCUGUACUUUCCCUGGGAAGUGGCAGCUUUGGCUCCAAGUUGUGACCUCAAAAUUACUCCCUUACUUUAUGGCCACAAUUGCUGAAGUCUGCCCCAGUAUGAGGUCCCAUGACUGAGUUCCCCUCUGUGAUUUGACACAAGGCUAUCAGAGCUAACUCUGGACUCCUAGAGCCUUUCGUAGGCAGGCAUGAUGGUGUGGUGGCAUUGGUCACAGUCCUUAGCCUUGUUCCUGAGGUUGUCUCCUGGCUUCUAUGGAAAAUUAGAACUGGAUACAGACUUCAGAGACCACCGUAGUGAACAAGGAUGAUUUAUCUGGUCCUAAAAGCUACUGAAUGACCAUUGAUUUGGGGCUGUGCAGGUCUUUCACUGGUGAGUAUGAACUUUAGCCUGAGACCAGCAUUUAAGAAAUUCCCUGUACGGGCUGGCCCCGUGGUUGAGUGGUUAAGUUCACGUGCUCCAGCUUUGGCGGCUCGGGGUUUCGCCAGUUUAGAUCCUGGGUGCGGACCUAGCACCACUCAUCAAGCCAUGCUGAGGCAGCGUCCCACAUUGCGCAACUGGCAUAUACAACUAUGUACUGGGGGGCUUUGGGGAGAAGGAAAAAAAACGAUUGGUAAUGGAUGUUAGCUCAGAUGCCAAUCUUUAAAAAAAAAAAAGAAAUGCCCUGUAUGAAAGUGGAGAACUCCUUUAUCAUUAAAUAUCUUGAAAUUCAUUCUGGUUGCCAUAUGUAAUAUGUAGAUUUUCUCUAUACUCCAAUAAUUCCAAAACUGAUAAAUGUAUUCUAUUUCUGUCUCUAUUUUUUAAAUUUUUUUUACUAGGAUAAAAUAUACAUAACAUAAAAUGUACUAUUUUAACCAUUUUUAAGUGUACAAUUCAGUGACAUUAAGUACAUUCUAAACGCUGUGCGACUAUUGCUCCUAUCUCCAGAACUUUUUCAUCAGCCCAAUCUCAAAUAUUGUACUCAUUAAACAUUAAUCCCUAUUACUUCCUCCUCUCAGCCCUUGGUAAUCACUAUUCUACUUUCUGUACCUGUGAAUUUGACUGUUCUAGGUACUUCACAGAAGUAUGAAGUAUGGAAUUAUUCAAUAUUUAUCCUUUGUGUCUGGCAUAUUUCACUUAGCCUAAUAUCUUCAAGGUUCAUCCGUGUUGUAGCAUGUAUCAGAAUUUCAUUCCUUUUUUAAGGCUGAAUAAUAUUCCAUUGUGUGUAUAUACCACAGUUUUCUUAUCCAUUCAUCUGUUGAUGGAUACUUGAGUUCCGUCUUUUGGCUACAUAAAGCUUUUGCUGUUGUGAGUGUGGUUGUACAAAUAACUGAUCAAGCUCCUACUUUCAGUUCUUUUGGGUAUAUAUGGAUAAGUGGAAUUGCUGGAGUGUAUUUUACAUUUUUUGAGGAACCACCGUAUCGUUUCCCACAGUGGCUGCACCAUUUUUCAUUCCCAUCAGCAAUGCUCAAGCAUUCCAGUUUCUCCACAUCCCUGCCAAUAUUUGUGUUUGUUGUUUUUUAUGAUAGCUGUCCUGAUGGGUGUGAAGUGGUAUCUGCCUCUCAUUUUUCACGUCUUUGAUCAAUUAGAAUUUUAGAAACCCCUACCAGUCAGUACUACUUUGAAUCUUCUAGACCUCACUAUAUUCUUUGAUAAAGUGGUUAAUGGAGAGUUAGAUGUGGAACAGACUUUCAAGGUCACCUUGUCCACUGGUUUUCACAUUUCGUUCCUCAAAUCUCCCUCCCCAAUUUUCAACCAAACUACUCUUGACUCUAAUUUCAUCAGUUUUCCCCAGUGCGUGUCCGAGUAAGAUUUUUCUUGAUAAAAGAGUUACUCAGCUUAACAGAAAAGUUUGAAAAUUUAGACCUUGUCCAUCCACACUAAGGUUCAGAGAAAGUAAUUACCUUUCCUGGCGCCUUUCAGCUGGGGAGCAGCAGAGGGAGGAUUUAAACAGAAAGAUAUCCAACGAGACAGAAGGUGUGCCUAGUAUUUAAUUUAAAAUUAGUUUAUGGAAUUAAAAAUAUUUUUGUGAAAUACACUGCAUUAAUACUAUAGGAAAUAUAAAAUUGAAGAAGAUGGUAUAGGCCAUGCUUAUAAGAAGCUUAUAAUAUUAUAAGGGACUAAAACAAGUAUACAAAAACCAUGAGGAAGAUAAUACAAGCACUUGGAAGACCAGCAAAAUAACAAUGCUGAACGUUUUUUAGAGAUUUAAAGGAGAGAAAGACCAUAUUUGGUUGGGGAAAAUCCAGAAAUGUUUUGCAAAGGACUUUGUGAAAGAAGAUCUGAAGGAAGAGUGCUGUGGCAUAUGCUCUGAAAGGUGGGCAGAUGUUCAACAUGUAGAACUUGGGGAAAGAGGGCCAAUUCAAGCAAGAGAAAGUAUGUGCAAAAACACUAAUGGGGAUGAUCACAAAUUGUAUUCCAGCAUGUUGACUUUAGGUAAAGAAGAGGCUAUAUAUAGGGUAGCUGCAGGAUAAAGGCCUAAAAAGAGGGGUUGGGAACACAUUGUGGAAAUAGCCUAGAAUGGCAAGCCGCAGAGCUGAUGCUCUACUAACUACAAAGGGAAGGGGGAGUCAUCAAAGGCUUUUUAGAGCACUGGGUUUUAGAGGCAGAUCAUAUGGACAAGCAGUUUCUCUGGGCCUCAGGUUGUCAUAUGCAAAACAAGGGGGGUGUGCUCUAUGCGCUGCUACAGCACUGCUCUAGGAAGACUUGCUUACAGAUUGUUCCCUCCCCUCAAAUGUCUUAUUUCAAGGAGGACAGAGGCAAAAGUUAUCAAUGAGGCAACGUGGUGCCACCAACUUAAAUAUUUGUCCAUUGGAAUAUGUACAGAAUGGACUGGAGCUAAGGUAACAUUUAGGAAUCUAUUACUACAGUCAGGGUAAAAAGUAAAGGCCCAUAACUAGGCCAGUCAUGAGAUUGGACACACACCGGAAAGCACACAGGAAGGAUAAGGAAUAGGACUUUACAACCAAUAGAGGUGGGGGGAAAAGGAAGGUAUUGAUAAGCAUGACUGAGCCUGCAAUAUUGAGUAAUUGGUGCUAUUAACAGAAGUAGUAAAAGUUAGGAGAAGGAGCCAUUUUGGAGCUGCAGUAGUGGGACAUUAUGGGUUGGGUCUGGGAUCUGUUGAUUUUAUAGUACCAAUGGCCAUAUAGGUCAAGUUAUCCAGCAGACAGUUGGAUUAGGUUAGAGCUAGGGCUACCUUCCUAGGAAUCAUGCAUAAUGGUGAGAGUUAAACCCAUAGGUAAGAGAAAGGGAGCAGGAACUCUGAAGGGAGCCCUUUGAGGGUGAAGCCUUGGGUGAUGGCCAUGUUUAAGAACAACCUGGAAAAGAAGAGACAUGGACAUGGAUAAGUUGAUUAGAGGGAUAAAGAGAAGGAGAUCCUAUUAUGCUUCGGAAAUCCAAGGUGCCAGAUAACUUAUGUUGGCUCCUCCAGAUUCCCUCUCCACCCUUCUCCGUUCUGCUCCCAGCCCCAGAGGCUGCCCUGUCUGGAUCUAUGCCUUUGGCUUAGGGAUGGGUUUACUCAAAAGGGAGUCUGGCAGGAGACCCAAAGGAGGGAAGAGAGGGAGAGGUUGCCUUGGACUGGCUGUGACCCUUGUCCAAAGGUCAUUCAUUGCUCCUCUCUCAAGGCACCUGUUAUGCAUGAUUCUCUCUCCUUACAAGCUCCAUAAUUUCCCCUCCUCUCUUCCCCUUGGGCCCAAGAGUGGUAACUGCUCAACUACUAUCACAUUGAUUCUUUCUUUUCCUUAUGGUUCCCUGCCCGGAAGUUUGUAAUUAGCCUCUUAUAAACCUUCCUAACUUAUCCUAAUUUGAGUGUUCCAUUUGUUUUCUGUUGCAAUUCUUAUUGUUAUACCUGUUAAACUCUAAUUUGAAUAGUAAGUGUUGACUAGGACUAUGACUGAGAACACUGACAUUGUCCUACCCCCAAUCAAUAGCUCCUUUUAUUUGUUGGAAUCAACAGGAAAAUUUAAUUUCAGCCAUAAUUCUACCUAGUCCUUGCACUCCUACCCAGAUCCUGCUGUGCAAUUGAUUGAAAAGCACCUUUGGGGGCCAGACCCGUGGCCAAGUGGUUAAGUUCAUGUGCUCUGCUUCAGCGGCCCAGGGUUUCACCGGUUCGGAUCCAGGGCGCUGACGUGGUACAGCUCGUCAAGCCACACUGAGUCAGCGUCCUACAUGCCACAACUAGAAGGACCCACAACUAAAAAUAUACAACUAUGUACCAGGGGGCUUUGGGGAGAAAAAGGAAAAAUCAAAUCUUUAAAAAAACAACAAAAAAGCAGCUUUGGUAAUCAAACUAAGCCACACCUAGGCCUAAAACCAAUACCACACUUUCUGCUAAAGAUGCUGAUCUCUCAUGAAGAAAGUGAGCACACCCAGAGAUGAGAGGAAAGCAUCCCUGAUUCUCAAUGCUCUCAAGAUGGGCACUACUGGCAGUCUCAGGCAAAUGCUCUAAGGUGCAAAAGGUUCCCUGCUCCUUGACCAUGUGGAACAAACACAGCGCUACCCAGGAGGUCAGUAGCUAUCUGUUGUUGGUAGCCCAGCUUCUCAGAUGCUUCUUGACUUUCAGCUAUAUCUUAUACUGAUUUUCUCUAGCUUAAAGAAGACUUCCAGGACAGGAAUAUCCAGCUCCAGAUAUCUGGCUGAAUCAAUCAUGGAAACAGACGAACUCAGGACUUGAUGCUCUUUUUCAGUGAAAAUAUUUUAGUGAUCAGAAUUAUUGAGGGAAACUCCUGUAAUUCUAGGGUAAGGGGAGACUGGUUACCUUUCUGGAACUUGAUCUGUCCUUGAAUUGCUGAAGAAUUUCUAAGCACAGGGUUUGUGGCCAUGGCAGACCAAGAUAAGCUUUAGGUCUCAGGAGAAAAAGAGGUAGUCUUUGAUAGUUGAGGAAACGUGUCUAAGUGGUGAAUAAGCACAGGCACUGAGGUUUCAAGACCACUGGGUUUUGGGAACAUGGAGCUGUUCCUCAUCUUCUUAUCACACAAAGGCAGACUCCUGGGGCCUCUGAGUGUCUCUUUGGUCACUGGUCAGACUUGUAGUAUAGCUUCCCUGGUCCUGAGAAAACAUUGAGAAUGAGCUGUCCCAGAGAAGCUUCCAAGCCCUUCAGUGUUAGAGGGCCAGGGGUGGUAGAUCUCUGAGGGGUGACAGGUCCUGCUGUCAGGGUUCUGCAGCAGGAGUCAUAAGGCUGGCAGAUGCUGCUAAAAAAGCAUUUUGCAGCUGCAGUAGGGAUGUACUUUGGGUGGAGCCUAGGCUUAGUUGUGAAGGCCGGAGUGAUUUGGUGGAUAAAGCUUGAUCCCUUGCCUAAAGAGGAAACUACCAGGAAGGGACUCUAAACCGUGAAAUAGGUUGCCCAGAUGGCUUUUACUACCCCCAGGCUCGUGCUUCCCAUAAUUAUUGGUAUUCCCAAUCUCACCUCGAGGCUUUAGAAGUGAGCAUGUUACCCUAGCCAUUGGCAGUUUGAUGCAUAUGUUGGAAGUUAUUUCUCCUGUGCAUUUAGUACCUUCAACAGAAAUGCACACCAAGAUUUGAUAUAAAUAAUCCUGUUCAGGAUAACCAAAAGCUGUGGCCAUGUGACUUCCUAUUUUUCUUUCACUUUGAUUUAUAUCUACUAUGCUCUUUGACAUACAACUACUCGUAUUUAUUACUGCUAAUUCCUUGACACAGAAUCCUCCUGAAGGGUAUGUAUCAUUUUCCUUUUUUCCCGAAUGUAAAUGCAUGUUAAAAAUUUUUCCUGUAAUUGGGGAAAUUUAUAGCAAACAAAAAAUGCUGCAUCAGUUCAAGUUCAAGAGAAAUCCUGAAGGAACUGAAACAAGUACAUUUAGCUAAGCUGAGCAACAACACCCUGAUGAUAAUUCUGGGGAAGAAGAGAGGAAGGCAUGACUAGGAAAGUGAAGACUGCAAUAAACGGACGGUCUCCACAUGAUAGCUCUGUGACAUGAAUGUGAUGUAAGAAUCAUUUUUAAUAAUCAGAUGUUUCAUUUGCAUAAGCACUUACUAAGUAUCAGACACUGUUCGGAGCACAUUGCACCAUCUGAUUUAAUCCUCACAUCAACACUAUGAGGUAGGUACUGUCAUUAUUCACAUUUGCUAGAUGGUGAAACUGUGCCCAAGCCACCCCAUUUAUAAGUAGUAGAUCAAGCAUUCAAACUUAGGUCUGUCUGACUCCAAAGUCAUUUAUUUCAUUUCUUCAACAAGUAUUAAUUGGGCACCCACUCUGAGCCAGGCAUUGGUAAACAAGGCAGAAAAUGCUCUCUGUCUGCAUGACAUUUAUGAUCUAGCAAUAGAUAGAUGUUAAUAGUUUAUUUGAAUUAAGAUUGUGAUGCACACCAUGAGCAAACAGAAGAAGAUUUUCUUUGAUAUAGUCCAAACUUCUAGACAAUGCCUGUGUUAGAUACCCAAUAAAUAUUAGUUGAAUAUUGAAUACGGUUGCCAUGAAGGUAGAUAAUGGUGGACUUACCCCAGUCUUGGUCGAGGACAAAGAAGGCUUUUCUGCAAAGGUGACAUUGAAGCUGAGACUUAAAGGAUGGUUUGAGCUGACUGGGAAGUAGGAGAAGCUCGCAGGAAAGGAGUGUUUUAAGCUGCCUGCCUGAAAUGCUUGAUUCAGGGAAGAACCUUGGUGAAUAGAAGGGAUAGAAAGUAGACCAAUGAGGUUAAAACAUGGAGGGCAGGAGAGGGUAGCCUAAGACAAAACGAGAAGGUAAGGAGGGUCAGGAUCAUGUGAACCAUAUAAAGAUUUUUAUCCUGAUUCUAAGAACUAUAGUUUGCCAGGAAAGGGCUUUCAUAAGAAGAAUGUCACCAACAAAUUUCCAUUGAUUGCAGGUCAGUUAGGAGUCUAUUGCAGUAGUCUACUUGGACUGGGAGGAUGGCAGUAGAGAAAGGGCAAAAUAAACAGAUACUUAGGAGGUGAUUGCCUAAAUAUGAAGGGUAAGAGAGAGGGAGUGCGUUAGUCAGUGUGCCUGAUUAGUUACCUAUUGCUGUGUAACAAAUUACCUAAAACAGUAAAUAUUUAUUAUCUCACACAGAGUCUUUAAACGUCAAGAAUCUGGGAGCAGCUUGCCUAGGUGGUUCUAGCGCAGUCUCUCAUGAGGUUGCAAUCAAGCUGUUGGCAGGUGUUCCAGUCCUCUAGGUUUUGACCUGGGCUGGAGGAUCUGCUUUCAAUCUCACUCACAUGAUUGUUUGCAGGCCUCGGUUCCUUACCACAUGGGGGAUGCUUGACACAGAGGUUGGCUUCCCCCAGAGUAAGUGAUCAAACAGAGAGAGAGAGGGAGAGCAAGCGACCAAGAAGGAAGCUGUAGUGUUUUUUAUGAUCUAAUCUCAGAAGUGACACACCAUCACUUCUGCCAUAUGCUACUGCUCACACAGAUCAAGUCAGAUAUGAUAUGGGAGGGGACUACGCAAGGACAUGUAUAUCAGGAGGCAGAGCUCAUUACGGGCCACAUUGGAGGCUGGUUACUACCGUGCCCGUAUGAAAAAGAUGGCUUUCAAAUUAGGAUAAUUUGAGAAAUUGUGUGUUUGUGAAUAGUUUGUUUUCUUACAAAGGGACAAUUUACAAAGGUGUGUGCAAGGAGUAGGGAGACCACGAAGGAAUCCUGCAAGUGCCCGGAGCUAGAAGCAGUAGAGCUGUUUUCACCCUACACCCAAAAGGACAAGAAGAGGAGGGAGAGGUUACUGGACCUCUGAAGAGAGAAUCUUGGAGAGCAGGCCCACCUUGAGGGGAGCUGUGUUAUUCUGAUGAGAAACACUGCCUGCGAUAUGCUAGGACAUGUGGGAGCUGAUUGUUCAUGUCUUUUCCCGACUCGGCCUUCAGUGAUGUAACAUUGGUAGCCACACAGGUUGUGGUGGUGAUAUUAUACCGCAGAAAUCAGUGAAUACUACAAACCAGAACUUUUUCUUUUCUUCUUUUCAGAGAGCCAGUUGUUAAACAUUUACAAGCACACUACUGGACACAGCCAGCCUGAGACAACCUCUUGAUGUGGGAGCUAAGAAAAACUCACACACAGACCUCACUCUCAAGAUAGAAGGAGGACCCGACUCCCCCAGGAGUCUCUUGGUGUGUGCUACUCGAACCAUCAAGCAUGUCUCCAGUUUCUUCGUUUCUGUGCAGAAGCUCGGUGCUGAGGACGUAGGAGACCAGCAGUAGCAGAAGCCAUAGCUUGGAUGGAAUGAGGUGGCACAUGGAAUUGUACGCAAAUCCUGUGGGGAGGGACAUGUACCAGAUACAAGUCAAGACUGAGAAAGUAUUUAAAAAUUCUUGAAUGGCCAACUAUAGAGGUUACGACUGACUCUGGAAGCCAAGACUUUCCAGCUUUGAAUUCCAGCUCCACCACCUGCAACCUGGACUAGACUGAGCAACCUGGGGUCAGGACGGUGGAUCUCAGCUCUGUGGCCUUAGUGCCCAGCCCAGCGUCUGCUACAUAAUCUGUGUGCCAUAUAUGGUAAAGAAAUUAGUGAUGAUGAAAAAACCUGGUAAUCUUUACAAGACUUUUUGUGAACAGCUGUGCCAUAGCUGUAAGAAGCAAAC